rnacentral:rRNA from 1 species
GGGUAGGGGUGAAAGGCUAAUCAAACUAAGAGAUAGCUCGUACUCCCCGAAAUGCCUUUAGGGGCAGCCUCGGAGUAGAGUGUCAUAGAGGUAGAGCUACUGAUUGGACUAGGGGGCUUCACCGCCUACCAAAUCCUGACAAACUCCGAAUACUAUGACAUAUAUCCGGGAGUGAGCGCAUGGGUGCUAAGGUCCGUGCGCGAGAGGGAAACAACCCAGACCAUCAGCUAAGGUCCCUAAAUAUAUGCUAAGUUGAUCUAACGAAGUCUGAUUGCUUUGACAGCUAGGAUGUUGGCUUGGAAGCAGCCAUUCAUUUAAAGAGUGCGUAACAGCUCACUAGUCGAGCGAUCGGGCAUGGAUGAUAAUCGGGCAUUAAGCAUAUUACCGAAGCUAUGGAUUCCCCGUUUACGGGGAGUUGUAGGGGAGCAUUCCAGUUACUGCGAAGGUGUACCGGAAGGUAUGCUGGAGUGUCUGGAAAAGAAUAUGUAGGCAUAAGUAACGAUAAUGCGGGUGAGAAACCCGCACACCGAAAGACUAAGGUUUCCUGAUCAACGCUAAUCGGAUCAGGGUUAGUCGGGACCUAAGAUUAACCCGAAAGGGGAUAUCGAUGGAUAAUAGGUUAAUAUUCCUAUACUGGCAUUUACUGCGAUGGGGUGACGAAGGAGUGACAGGUCUGCGUACUGACGGAAUAGUACGUUGAAGGAUGUAGGUAUACGUUCGGCAGGAAAAUCCGCCAAAUGUGCUGAAACCCGAUAGUACCGUGAGUCUUCGGACAAGCGGAUAAUGACCGUAAUCAGACUUCCAAGAAAAACCUCUAAGCUUCAGGUAUAUGCCACCCGUACCAUAAACCGACACAGGUGGUCGAGGAGAGAAUCCAAAGGUGCUCGAGUGAAUCAUGGCUAAGGAACUAGGCAAAUUAGUCCUGUAACUUCGGAAGAAAGGACCCCCCGAGUAAUCGGGGGCGCAGAGAAAUGGCCCAGGCGACUGUUUAUCAAAAACACAAGGCUUUGCUAAAUUUAAUGAUGACGUAUAAGGCCUGACACCUGCCCGGUGCUGGAAGGUUAAGAGGAGGGCUUAUCACGCCUUUGGCGUGAGAAGGUCUGAAUUGAAGCCCCAGUAAACGGCGGCCGUAACUAUAACGGUCCUAAGGUAGCGAAAUUCCUUGUCGGGUAAGUUCCGACCUGCACGAAUGGUGUAACGAUCUGGGCACUGUCUCAGCCAUGAGCUCGGUGAAAUUGUAGUUCCGGUGAAGAUGCCGGAUACCCGCAACGGGACGGAAAGACCCCGUGAACCUUCACUACAGCUUUACAUUGACUUUGGGUAAACGAUGUGUAGGAUAGGUGGGAGACUGUGAAGCGGGGGCGCUAGCCUUCGUGGAGUCAACCUUGAAAUACCACCCUUCGUUUAUCUGAAGCCUAACCCCGCUCAACGGGGAACAGUGUAUGGUGGGUAGUUUGACUGGGGUGGUCGCCUCCAAAAGAGUAACGGAGGCUUUCAAAGGUACCCUCAGCAUGCUUGGUAACCAUGCGCAGAGUGCAAUAACAUAAGGGUGCUUGACUGUGAGACUUACAAGUCGACCAGGUAGGAAACUAGGAUAUAGUGAUCCGGUGGUUCCGUAUGGAAGGGCCAUCGCUCAAAGGAUAAAAGGUACUCCGGGGAUAACAGGCUGAUCACUCCCAAGAGCUCACAUCGACGGAGUGGUUUGGCACCUCGAUGUCGGCUCGUCACAUCCUGGGGCUGGAGAAGGUCCCAAGGGUUGGGCUGUUCGCCCAUUAAAGUGGCACGCGAGCUGGGUUCAGAACGUCGCGAGACAGUUCGGUCCCUAUCUGUUGUGGGCGUUGGAAGUUUGAAGUCACCUGACUCUAGUACGAGAGGACCGAGUUGGACGAACCUCUAGUGUAUCUGUUGUGGUGCCAACUGCAUCGCAGAGUAGCUACGUUCGGAUGAGAUAAGCGCUGAAAGCAUCUAAGCACGAAACUCAGACUAAGAUGAGACUUCCUUUAAGGGUCGUUCAAGACUAGGACGUUGAUAGGCUGCAGGUCUAAAGACAGUAAUGUCAAAGCCGAGCAGUACUAAUUACCCGUAAACUUUCUUC